rnacentral:tRNA from 1 species
GGUGGUUGUAGCUCAGUUGGUUAGAGCAUCGGUUUGUGGUACCGAGGGUCGUCGGUUCGAGACCGAUCUUCCACCC